AGGGCCGCGGUAAUUUGACCGUGCGAAGGUAGCAUAAUCAUUAGUCUUUUAAUUGGAGGCUUGUAUGAAUGGUUGGAUGAGGGACAUUCUGUCUUUUUGAGUUGUAUUGAAUUUAACUUUUAAGUGAAAAGGCUUAAAUUGUUUAGGGGGACGAUAAGACCCUAUAAAACUUUAUAUAAUUUUAAUUUAUUAUGGUUGGAUUUAGUUUAAAGCUAUUUUAUGUGGGUUAUAUUUCGUUGGGGAGAUGUUUAUAUAAUUUGUAACUGUUUUAAAAAAUUGAAUAAUUAUAAUUAGUUUAUGAUCCUUUAUUAAAGAUUAGAAGAUUAAGUUACUUUAGGGAUAACAGCGUAAUUUUCUCUGAGAGUUCUUAUCGACGAGAGUAGUUGCGACCUCGAUGUUGAAUUAAAAUUNUCUGGCUGGUGUAGUCGCUUGUCUAGUGGGUCUGUUCGACCUUUAAAAUUUU
rnacentral:rRNA from 1 species